rnacentral:rRNA from 1 species
UACGUAGGUGGCAAGUGUUAUCCGGAAUUAUUGGGCGUAAAGCGCGCGCAGGUGGUUUCUUAAGUCUGAUGUGAAAGCCCACGGCUCAACCGUGGAGGGUCAUUGGAAACUGGGAGACUUGAGUGCAGAAGAGGAAAGUGGAAUUCCAUGUGUAGCGGUGAAAUGCGUAGAGAUAUGGAGGAACACCAGUGGCGAAGGCGACUUUCUGGUCUGUAACUGACACUGAGGCGCGAAAGCGUGGGGAGCAAACAGG